GCACGGAUGGCCGAGUGGUCUAAGGCACCAGACUCAAGCGAUAUGCUUCCUGCAAGAAACGCGGGGUGGGUAUCCUGGUAUGGUGAUCCAUGCGUGGGUUCGAAUCCCAAUUCGUGCA
rfam:Toxocara canis scaffold96, whole genome shotgun sequence.